UCGUGUUUUGAAAUGUCUGGUUGAUUCCGUUAACGAACGAGACUUCCGCCUUUAAAUAGAGUGGAUAAGCGAGUGUGGUGGAGCUUGAGGUCAAGAGGUGAGCCCGGCCGCUGCAGAAGGGUUUUAGUCCCCUGUGGAUGGUUGACUGUGCUGUGCUCUGGCUGAUCCACUUACCGCUUGUUCAAGUGAAUCUCUUCUUAGAGGGACAAAUGGCAAAAAGCCAUGGGAAG
rnacentral:rRNA from 1 species